rnacentral:rRNA from 1 species
UAGAUACCCUGGUAGUCCACGCCGUAAACGAUGAGUACUAGGUGUCGGUUGUUUCGAAACAAUCGGUGCCGGAGUAAACACAAUAAGUACUCCGCCUGGGGAGUACGGUCGCAAGACUGAAACUCAAAGGAAUUGACGGGGGCCCGCACAAGCGGUGGAGCAUGUGGUUUAAUUCGACGCAACGCGAAGAACCUUACCAAGACUUGACAUCCUCUUGAUUGGAUAUGUAAUGUAUCCUUUUCUUCGGAAC